rnacentral:rRNA from 1 species
GAUGAACGCUGGCGGUAUGCUUAACACAUGCAAGUCGAACGGACUCUUCGGAGUUAGUGGCGGACGGGUGAGUAACGCGUGAGAAUCUGGCUUUGGGUUCGGGACAACCACUGGAAACGGUGGCUAAUACCGGAUGUGCCGAGAGGUAAAAGAGAAAUUGCCUGAAGAUGAGCUCGCGUCUGAUUAGCUAGUUGGUGAGGUAAAGGCUCACCAAGGCAGCGAUCAGUAGCUGGUCUGAGAGGAUGACCAGCCACACUGGGACUGAGACACGGCCCAGACUACUACGGGAGGAAGCAGUGGGGAAUUUUCCGCAAUGGGCGAAAGACUGACGGAGCAAUACCGCGUGAGGGAAGAAGGCUCUUGGGUUGUAAACCUCUUUUCUUAGGGAAGAACAAAAUGACGGUACCUAAGGAAUCAGCAUCGGCUAACUCCGUG